GACGAACGCUGGCGGCGUGCUUAACACAUGCAAGACGAACGGAAAGGCCCUGCUUUUGUGGGGUGCUCGAGUGGCGAACGGGUGAGUAACACGUGAGUAACCUGCCCUUGACUUUGGGAUAACUUCAGGAAACUGGGGCUAAUACCGGAUAGGAGCUCCUGCUGCAUGGUGGGGGUUGGAAAGUUUCGGCGGUUGGGGAUGGACUCGCGGCUUAUCAGCUUGUUGGUGGGGUAGUGGCUUACCAAGGCUUUGACGGGUAGCCGGCCUGAGAGGGUGACCGGCCACAUUGGGACUGAGAUACGGCCCAGACUCCUACGGGAGGCGGCAGUGGGGAAUAUUGCACAAUGGGCGGAAGCCUGAUGCAGCAACGCCGCGUGCGGGAUGACGGCCUUCGGGUUGUAAACCGCUUUCGCCUGUGACGAAGCGUGAGUGACGGUAAUGGGUAAAGAAGCACCGGCUAACUACGUG
rnacentral:rRNA from 1 species